CUCUUUCUAUCCUACCAGCACUGUGUUCCAGCUUGGUCCUACACCAAACACCUGAAUAACACCAGCCAGGUCCUUUUGAACAGUAGUGUAAACUAAGACACUUACCCUUCAACUACAAGUGUUAUAGCUACGUUAUAGCUACAGAACUACAAGUGUUACCUUUCCUUGGGAAAGGCUUUGAAUAGGUGAAAGGGUUGUGAUGAUGCUAAUGACAAAACGUCCCUUAAAAAUAAACUGUUACUUGGAUGAAGCAACAUCUUGUGACGAGGGCAGAAGUACCAAUGUUGUGAAGCCCAGGAAGUGCAGACUGGAUAUUUUAUGAAGGAUGAAUCAAUACAGCAAUGAAGUGAAAGUUUUUCCCACAUAAAUGAAUGAGCAUUGUCUGCUUGGGAGCUUCAUGGUUUCCACCUGGGAUUAUCAUAAAGUGCGCUAACUGGACAUCUCAUAAACCUUGUUAUGAUAUGGCAAUACUUUGGACACUAAGGAUUCUGUUGUGUUAUUUGAAAGCUUAUCCAGUAAACUCCUCAACUGCUAUUUUUUUUUUACUGUACACAUUAAGGAUUCUG